AAAAAAAAAAAAAAAGUGGAAGUCAGCUGUGGAGAAUAUAGCAGUUGCUAACUACAAACAGCAGUGGUACAGUUAAUGCAAAACUCUCAGACAGGGUAAGCAAUUAUAAUACAGCUUCAGGGACUAUAGCAAUUGCUAACUGUAACCACCAGGUAGCACAGCAGAAUAUGGAACUCAUGCAAGCAUGUGAAAAAUAGCUGAAGGGAAUAACUGCUGACUGCAACCACCACAUGGCACAGCAAAACACAAAACUCAGCAGAAAAGGGCAAAGAAAUACAAGGCAGCUGAAAGGAAUAGAGUAAUUGCUGACAGCAACCACCAGGUGGUGCAGUAGAAUGUGAAAUUCAGCAAGACAGGGCAAGCAAUAUGGGACAGCUGAAGGGAAUAUAGCAAUUUCUAACUGUAACCAGCAGGGGCACAGGAGAAUACAAAUCUCAGGGCUAGCAUGCACAAGAGAGCAGAAGGGGAUAGAGUAAUUGCUAACUGCAACCACAAGGUGGCACAGCGAUCUCAGCAGGGCAGGUAGAAAAGUACAAGAUUACUGCAGUAACUCUAAGGUGGCGGGUAGAAUACAAAACUCAAGGCAUUCAUGUACAAAAUAAAGGGAAUAUAGCAGUUGCUAACUGCAAGCGCCAGGUGGCACAGUAAAGCACAGAACUCAAUAGGACAAGACAAAGAAGUGCAAAAGAGCCGAAAAGAAUAGAAAUUGCUAAUGGCAACCACCAGCUGUCAGUAGAAUGUAGAACUCUCAGCCAGACAGGGCAAGUUAAGUACAAGGCUGUGGGAAAUAUAGCAGUUGCUAACUGUAACCACCAGGUGGUGCAGCAGAAUACAAAACUCAGGGAAGCAUGUACAAGAUGGCUGAAGGGGAUAGAGUAAUUACUAGGUGCAACCUCCAGGUGGCACAGUAGAAUGCAAAAUUCAGGACACGGCAAAGAAAUAUAGGACAGCUGAAAGGAAUACAGUAAAUGUUAACAGCAACUACCAGGUGGCAAAACAGAAUACAAAUCUCAGGGCAAGCAUGUAAAAGACAUCUGAAGGGAAUAUAGUAAUUGCUAACUGCAACUACAGGGUGGUGCAGCAGAACUCAAAACUCAGAAGGACAGGGCAAUAAAUAGUAUACAAGACAGCUGAAGUGAUUAUAAAUCACUUGCUAACUGUAACCACCAGGUGGCGCAGCAGAACACAGGGCAGAGUACAAGACGAGAAUAGGGUAAUUGCUAACAGCAUCCACCAGGUGGUGCAGUUGAACGCAAAACUCAGCAGGACAGGACAAAGAAGUACAAGAGAGCUGAAAGGAAUAGAGUAAGUGCUAACAGCAUCCACCAGGUGGCGCAGUUGAAUGCAAAAACAGCUGGAUAGGGCGAAGACUUGCAAGACAGAUGAAGAGAAUAGAGUAAUUCCUAACAAUAACCACCAGGUGGCGCAGUAGACCGCAAAGCGCAGCAGGACAGUGUGAUGUAUGUCUGCUUAAAAAAGGGUAGUUGCUUACAGUAUCCACCAGGUGGCGCAGCAUACCGCAAAACUCUCAACAGGAGGGGGCUAAAGGAGUACAAGACAGCUGAAGGGAAUACAGCAAUUGCUGACUGCAACCACGAUGCAGCUCAGCAGAAUGCAAAACUCUCGCAGAACGUGAUAAACCCACCCCCUUUUGCUGCUUUCCUCAAAGAGGAAUUUGGUACCCCAGAAAUUUGACCUCUGAGGAUUGGUCAGAGUUAGCUACCAUUAAGAUUAUUGCCCAAUACCUUAAUUUUACCCUUCUCCCAAUUUGCCUCUGAUAAUAAUCAGACAUAUGGUAAAAUAAAAUUGCUAAAAUUUUGUACCCUUUAGUCAGGUCAGAGGAUUGGAACUGUGCUUUGCCUUUGAUUACUUAUUUACUUCAGGCAAUUGACUCUUGCUGUCUAUCUGUAAAAAGAAUAUAAUAGUACCUUCUUUGCAAGAUUAUUGUUAAGUAUUAAAUCAGUACAAAUGUCACCUUAGGUAGCUCUGUGUGUUGGCUGUUUUGAUGACUGAAAUGUGAUGGAAUUAUGAAUACUCAUGAGAGAAGGAAUGUUGAUGCAAACAGCAGAGACACGUUUGAAUUCUAAGAUCCUGAAGCCAUUUUCCUCUCUUGUUAGAUUUUUACAUUUAACUUCACAUCAUGAUUUAAAGUUAUUUUCUGGAAAGAAACUAAUCACAAUGCCAGAUGUCAAGACAGAAUAAUACAUGUUUACUGUCAUACAUUUCUUUCUUAAUAUUUGGAAAUUAAAAUUUCCAAGGUUUAGUUCUAAAGGCUUUUACCUUGAUUUCUGAAAUAUUUUGUAAACAGAAAAUCAGUUAGGUUUUCUCAAAGGGCAUGAUGUUUUACACAAAAGUAUAUCUUGGGUUGUCUGAGUCCAACCAAGAGGCUGCUCAAAAAGCAGGUUAGAAGAAAAUCCAUGUCUAAUUCCUCUAAUGAGUGGGUUAAGCAUUUGUCUCCAUAUUUAAAUGGUUGCAGACUUUGAGAAUAAAUUCAGAGAAUCAUCCCUCAUAGGGACAGAAAUGAAUGAAAAGAGUCUAGAAUUGAACAUGUCUCUCUUUCUAAAAUCACAAAUUGAAGACCUAGCUUUGUGGGAUGAAGAGGUUGAUCUAUUAAGGCUGAAUUUUCAGUGAUAUAAACUUUAGGGUGCCUUUCAGCAUCAAGUUGUGAAAGCCCUUUCUGGACGUUUUGCAGAAUGUUGGCGUACAGCCUGCCUGCUGAGAUCCCAGUGUGUGACCUGUUCCUGCCUGCAGCCAGAGGCAAACUCAGUGACCCACUGAGGCCACUGUCAACUGGCACAGACUGGAAAAUUGUUAAAUAAAUUGGUCAGAAACUGUCAAACCUAUUGCAUAAUCCAAACCUUAAAACCCGGACUGCAAAGUUUUCUCCUCAUGCCAGUCAUUCACACCUUUUGGAUUCAUUUUUUGAUCAGUUCAUCAGAAGAGUAUUUAUUGGUUCUCUAUGAGAUAUGCCCAGCACUGUGAUAAGUGCUACUUUAAAAUUUAUUUUUAAAACUAUAACUAAUGGGGAAAGAACUUGGGUGGUUCUCCGAGACACCCAGAGAUUAAGAUGACGUGUACUAUAAAUCCGUAACAAGUAAUAAUUUGCUUUAAAAAAAAUCAGAGACACGUUAACCACGUAGACAAUCUCCACCUUCAUCUUUCUGGAACUCUUCAGCUCCCAGAAAGUGACAGGGUGUUUCUACACCAAAGAGUAUGCACAUUGCCAUUUUUAGUUUCUUCCGUCAUACGGUAUACUCAUGGCCUCAGGGGAAAGACAUGUGACACUUCAAGUCACUUGAGAGUACAGCUGUCUUACUAUCACCAUCCCAUUGAGGCCAGUUUUGGCCCAGCCACAGCUGCUGGUGGAGCCCACGUGGGUGUAACUGUGUGGGGAGAGUCGUGAUACAGACAAGCCAACUGACACUGCAGAGGGGCCCUCAGGGCAGAUCACAGCCACAGCCCUUGGUGGCCCAUUUUAAAGUUGUAAAUGUAUGUAUAUGAUGAGAAGAAAUACAUAUCGGUGGUUGAUUAUGUGUGAAACAUAAAAGCAUAAAAAGGUUAAUUUUAUUAUUAUUUCCCCCCCUCAGCUUUAUUGAAAUGUAACUGACAUACAUUGUGUGUGUUUAAGGGGUAUAGCAUGAUUACUUGAUACACGUAUAUACUGCAAAACGUUUACCACAAUCAGGUUAGUUGGCACAUCCUUUGCCUCCCAUAAUUACCUUUUUGUUGUUGUCGACAUGAUGAUGAAAACCUUUAAGGUCUCCUUUCUUAACAACUUUCAAGUGUACUAAACGGUAUUGUUAUCUGUAGUCACCAUACUGAACAUUAGAUCCUGGGAGCUGAUUCAUCUCAUAACAAGAAGUUUAUGCCCUUUGACCAACCUCUCCCAUUUCCCCCACCUCCUAGCUCUUGGCAGUCAGUAUUCUACCCUCUGUUUUUGUUUUUUAAGAUUCCACAUGUAAA
ensembl:lncRNA